rfam:Gossypium hirsutum cultivar TM-1 chromosome 11, whole genome shotgun sequence
GUGACAGAAGAGAGUGAGCACCCAGGGUGUUUUCUUGCAUGCUUGGGCUUUCAUGCUUGAAGCUUUGAGUGCUCACUCUCUAUCUGUCAU